GUGAUAUUUGUGAUUUCAAUCCUAGUUUAUUUACUUUACGAUCUACGUAGCAAUUUAGUAAUACUGUGUAAAAUACAAGUUAAAACUCUAAUUCUAAUUAAAAAAUAUACUUUUAAUAAUUGAUUCUAAUCCUUCCUCGGCUACGCGUAAAGUGCAUUCAAUGAACACAAGCAUAUCCAUCAGGUACCACUUGCUUUAACAAUGAACAACGUCCUACAUGAAAAGCAAAAUAAUCGCUACCGUAAAAAGUACAAAUUUAUGAAAAGAAGAAUUAAGAGCUUGAUACUAGAAAAUGCUGCGCUUUGUGAUGAAGUUGCAAAAAUUCAAGAGAGUAUAAUAAUUGUAAAAGAUGAGAGAAAGUUUCUGCUGCGGAAGCUACUGGAAUAUCUCAAUAAAGCUGAAUUCUCACAACAAAACUACAGACAUGAUACAGCCACUAAUGGACCUAGCACAAAACUUAAGAAGAGAAAGAGUUUAGAAGAAAAUGGUAAAAGCAUUUCUUUGUCUUAACAGUUGUUGUGCCAAUAUUUUUGAUCACCUCUUACCUCUAAAGCAAGAGAAAGAGAUACUGAAAGGAUCAAAAGCAGGAUUAUGAUAAAAAAAUACAAUUGUAAGUUAUUUUAGUCAUGUUAUAAUUAAAACUACAUCAGAAAUGGUAAGGCAACUUACUCUACUGUUAGCCACCUCCCUAAUUUUAUCAAUCUCAAAAAUCAGAUAGGGCAGGUUAUGCUAGUUACAUUUAGUUGAUAACCAGACCUACAUCUGUUUAUUGAAUUUACUAAGUAAAGCCAUAUAAUUCAGUUACAAUUUUGGAAAAGUUAUCUGAAAUUUCAUAGAAAAGGUAACUUUCAUUGUGAAAACGGAAAAUUUUAAAUCCCCAUACAAAAUUAUGACAAGUUUCUGAAUUUUUUCAAUGCUAUGGUAAUUUGGAAAUUUUCCGAUGACACAUCAGUAGUUACAAUUGGUUAGUCCAACAUUGGAAUUUUAAUGUAUAGUUCUCUAUGUAUACUGUAUAGUACUAAUAAUCUUUUUGACCGUCAUUUGCUGUAUCUAAACAUGACCUGUACCUGCCCCAUCACCUGCCGGCCUAGCACAUGAUUGGCACGACAGUAUCUUGCAGCGAGAUAGACUACCUGUCCCUCUUUAAUUCAAAUAGUUAAUCUAUCUCGCGGCAAGAUACUGUCACGCUCAUCAUGUGCUAGGCCUACUGUGGGCACAAGCGCAACCACUCAUUAUAUUUAGGGUAUCUUUGCAUUGAAAGGUUUUUGAACUAUUUUGUGAUGUGUUUCGCUGUGUUUGUGAAUAGUUGUAAACAUUUAUUUUAGUGAAAAUCAACUGGUUACAGGAAAUCUGUUAAUGGAAAGUAAUAUGUUAAAUAAUAAUAAUAACAGAAUACAGAGA